GAAUAUUGGACAAUGGGGGCAACCCUGAUCCAGCCAUGCCGCGUGUGUUAAGAAGGCCUUUUGUUUGUAAAGCACUCUAAGCAGUGAAGAAGACGCCAUGGUUAAUACCCAUGGACGAUGCCAUUAGCUGCAGAAUAAGCACCGGCUAUCUCCGUGCCAGCUGCCGCGGUAAUCCAGAGGGUGCAAGCGUUAAUCGGAAUUACUGGGCGUAAAGCGAGCGUAGGUGGCUUGAUAAGUCAGAUGUGAAAUCCCCGGGCUUAACCUGGGAACUGCAUCUGAUACUGUUAGGCUAGAAUAGGUGAGAGGAAGGUAGAAUUCCAGGUGUAGCGGUGAAAUGCGUAGAGAUCUGGAGGAAUACCGAUGGCGAAGGCAGCCUUCUGGCAUCAUAUUGACACUGAGGUUCGAAAGCGUGGGUAGCAAAC
rnacentral:rRNA from 1 species